rnacentral:rRNA from 1 species
UGGGGAAUUUUGGACAAUGGGCGAAAGCCUGAUCCAGCAAUGCCGCGUGUGUGAAGAAGGCCUUCGGGUUGUAAAGCACUUUUGUCCGGAAAGAAAUCCUUGGCUCUAAUACAGUCGGGGGAUGACGGUACCGGAAGAAUAAGCACCGGCUAACUACGUGCCAGCAGCCGCGGUAAUACGUAGGGUGCAAGCGUUAAUCGGAAUUACUGGGCGUAAAGCGUGCGCAGGCGGUUUGCUAAGACCGAUGUGAAAUCCCCGGGCUCAACCUGGGAACUGCAUUGGUGACUGGCAGGCUAGAGUAUGGCAGAGGGGGUAGAAUUCCACGUGUAGCAGUGAAAUGCGUAGAGAUGUGGAGGAAUACCGAUGGCGAAGGCAGCCCCUGGGCCAAUACUGACGCUCAUGCACGAAAGCGUGGGGAGCAAACAGGAUUAGAUACCCUGGUAGUCCACGCCCUAAACGAUGUCAACUAGUUGUUGGGGAUUCAUUCCUUAGUAACGUAGCUAACGCGUGAAGUUGACCGCCUGGGGAGUACGGUCGCAAGAUU